rnacentral:lncRNA from 1 species
GUAUAUGAAACAAGCUUUCAUUAGUUCCUAUGAAAACAUGUAAAAACAAUGGCUUUGUUUUCCCACAUUUUACUAAACACUCUACAGGUACACUUAGAACACAGUGGUUAAAAAUAUAGAACAGAAAAAAGUUAUUAAAAACAAGAAAAUGGGUGCAGAUCCACCUUGUGGCGUGAGAGAAUGUGUACACUUUCCAGUACAGGCAAUUUAUGUUAUAUACCUGUGUCCAAUCGGAGAUUUUUAGGGAGACAAUAUGAAGAAGCCCGAAAGGAAGUGUAUGGGACUCCCCAUUCUCUGCUCUGCGUACCAAGCAGGUGGGAGGAUUAUUCCAGCCUCUGUGAUCACACACAGAAGGAUGAGCCUUCCUCGUGAGGGUUGGAGAUGGAGGGAGAAGGGAUGGAGAGUAAGGAUGGGACGGAGGUUGUGGAGCAGAAGACCAACACGCCAGAAAGGAAAAUAAUGAUCAUCUCAAUUUUUAUAUGUGGAGGCAUUGCUUUUCUUCUUUGGGGGAUUUUAAGAUUUCCCAGAAAAUGUAAGUAAACAAUUUCUGCUAAAAUUAUUAAAUUAAAUUAUUAAAAUUAUUGUAUUAUUGAUUCAGUUGGAUACCAAUAACUAGUCUUUCCUUCCUUAAUAUAGAACAAUUUAGAGAUAAAAGCAUUUUCCAAGACAGUGCAUCUAAUUGCUCUUCAAACUUAGUCACCUGCUUCACCUUCCAGAAUAAUCAGUCUUUCAAUAAAUAUGUAUCAAGCUUUAGGCACAGUGCUGCCUGCUGAUGAUACAACAAUGAAAAAAAAAUGGUAUUUCUUGCCUGAAAGUAGUUUAUCUUUAACUGAAUAUGGAAGCAUGUAAGCAAACAACUGUAACACAAAAGAAAUAAUUACUAAAUAGAACUAUGUUGAAUUUGAAGCAGGAGAGGAGAUUAUAAGUUAGCUGCUUGUAGUCAAGGCUUUAAUGAAGGGAGAAAUAUUUGUGCUGAAUCUUAAACUCAAGUAGGCGUUUAUCAAAGAUCAUCUUAGAACACACAUGUCAGAGAAUCACACCAGGUAUAAUUAUGACGGAGUUACAAAGAAGUAGGGUGAGGGACUGGCAAUUGUAUUAUAGUUCCCUAGUGCAUUAACUCUUUCACUGCCAUUCAUUAGCAAUUUAUACCUUCUCCUUCAUCUCCAUUCUCCUCAUGCUCAUUCUCAUGUCUAUACCCUUGCUUCCAACUUGUUCUAAUUUUAACAAUUUGUAGGAAACUUCCAAAUGCUCCCAUCACCACACCAGCUUACUUACUCCAUCUCUGCCCCUACACUCUGCCUAGACUCCUGGAACUGUAGAUGCAGUAUUCAUGUUCUACAAUAGAUCCUAUAUUCUCUCACUGGAUCAGUAAUAUCACCCUAGUAA